GGGGGAGUAGCUCAGUUGGGAGAGCGCCGCGUUCGCAACGCGGAGGUCGAGGGUUCGAAUCCCUUCCCCUCCACCA
rnacentral:tRNA from 1 species